rnacentral:rRNA from 1 species
GAUGAACGCUGGCGGCGUGCCUAAUACAUGCAAGUCGAGCGAACAGAUCAGGCGCUUGCUCCUUUGACGUUAGCGGCGGACGGGUGAGUAACACGUGGGUAACCUACCUAUAAGACUGGGAUAACUUCGGGAAACCGGAGCUAACACCGGAUAAUAUUUCGAACCGCAUGGUUCGAUAGUGAAAGAUGGCUUUGCUAUCACUUAUAGAUGGACCCGCGCCGUAUUAGCUAGUUGGUAAGGUAACGGCCUACCAAGGCGACGAUUCGUAGCCGACGUGAGAGGGUGAUCGGCCACACUGGAACUGAGACACCGUCCAGACUCCUACGGGAGGCACCAGUAGGGAAUCGUCCGCAAUGGGCGAAAGCCUUACGGAGCAGCGCCGCGUGAGUGAUGAAGGUCUUCGGAUCGUAAAACUCUGUUAUUAGGGAAGAACAGACGUGUAAGUAACUGUGCACGUCUUGACGGUAACUAAUCAGAAAGCCACGGCUAACUACGUG